GAAAAAGAUGGCAAAAUGUGCUCAUCUUCUCCAUGGUGAACGAAAAUAGCAAGGGGGAAGCCAUAGUUAGGGUUUUCAAGCUUCCAAGCUCCAUAAUCAAGAAGAACGAAAUUCGGAGUUAGACUGGGGGAAGAAAAAGAUAGAGGAGUAAGUUGCUAGAUUUGGUCAAAUUUUGUACCGAGUAUUAUCAAGCAUAGUCGGGAUCUUGAAGACGUCGGAGAGCGUUCACACUAUCAACCACCACAACUCGAUAUUUUAAGACGAUAAAUGUUUCGAGCUAUGGCAUGUAUAGGGACUUAGUCAUUUCGAUUGUUUAUUCUUAAAUUAUGACCAAAAGAUGUUAUGUAAAUAUUUGAUGAUGAAUAGUUAUUAAAAUGGCUAAGUAUGAAGGUGUUUGUUGUUAUAAA